UUGAUGCCGAGUUUCUUCUAUAUUCUCUGUGUGAUUUGUUCACUCUCCUUGUACAGAGAUCACUGAGCUGCUGAGACCUGAAAAACAAUCACUUCAACAUGAUCAUGCAGCCAGCAGCGCAAAGGAAUCAAUGUAAAGAAUCCCAUCUGCUCUGUUGAGCGCCAGAGAACUGGUGAGGCGGUGGCUGCAGGAACACCAAUCAAAAGCAGAAGAAGAGAAGCCCCGCCGCUAGAAAAGAAAAACAAUCGGCGGGCACCAGGAGACAUGAGAGAAGCUCCACCUGAAAAUGGUAAUUCAUGACAAAAUUCAAGUGUACACCAACAAUUGCCCAUUAACACACAUACAGGUACUUGUAUUUUCAGUCUUAAGAUGGUACUACUUCAUUACUCAGGUAGUUAGCAUAUUGCCUGAUCCUUCUGCUUGAA